rnacentral:lncRNA from 1 species
AGGCCACACUGGGGUAAGAAAAGAGUUAUGUGUCUUUCAGAAUUAAUUGAUGUUGUUGUCUUCCCUGCAUCAAAAGUUUAACUGUAAUGUCUAAGAAAUAAAAAAACUGCCAGAAGAGCCAGCUCUUCCAGUCUGUUCCUCUUCCAUUACCAUCAAUCCUGGUUUUGAUCUGCUUGUAGCACCAGCUAUUGGCUGUGUAAAGAACCUUAAAAAGAUAGUAGACUGUUUGAAUGCAAUAUAUUACAGAGAGAAAGCAACAACUAGUUGUGAAGCACUUUUUGAGUGGGAAUAUCUGCUCUCUGUUAGAUCUCACCUGCCAGAAAUAUUUGCGGGACUCAAAAAUGCUGGUGCUACUUAUCAUAUGAAUGCUGUGAUCCAGCAGCCAUAUAUAUCUAUAUAUAUGUUAUAGAUAUACAUACGUGUGUGUAUGUGUUUCCCCCCACACUGAAAACAGUAUUCUUGCAAUUGAAUGCAUAGGUAAAAAUAUAGAUAAUGAUUGUUUGAAGAUGAGAAGCAGAACAGUGAGAUUAAUGUUGAUCCCCAAGGUAAUUUAUCAGAAUAUUUUUAUUAAUUGGAAGACAAUCCAGAGUUAAUAAAGACAGAAGAUAGAAAAGAGAACAAUAUUUGUGUCAUAAGACAUCUUCAAGACAUCUUUGUUCAUUGAGCUGUUUUCAAAGUACAAUCAUAUGUACCCAAAGAAUUUUGGUAACAGUUAUG